rnacentral:lncRNA from 1 species
GGUGGCUUCCAUCCCCUCUGGCUGAGCCUCCCUCUUUCUUGUGGAGUAAACUUCAGUUGUCGACUAGUGAGUGAUGUUUGUGAGUAGAUUGAACUACUGCUGCUGAUUCCUGUGAACUGAGCUGCUGAUGUCCUGACAUCACAGAUUCAAUUUGCUCCAAAUAACUAUUUCUAAACAGGCAUAACUCUGAAUUCUGUUCUCCAAGAAAGUUAUUGCAUGCAGAUCUGAGUCUGAUUCCAGGGAGGUAGUCCUAUAGCUGGGCCUUGGAGAUCUGCGCAGUCAUUGCUCCAGAGCAAUUACCCAUAAUAAGAGGAGCUGAGUUAGUGACAACACUUUGAGGGAGAUGAAGUAGACUGUGGCCAAAGCUUCAUCGAGCAUGCUACCCUGUGUAAGAUGACCAUUGAAGAAUGACCUGUAGACCUGUGGGAAUAAAGCUUCCUCUUUCCUCUCUGGGGACUACCCUUGCUCUCAACUCCAAGUUAGAUGUGACCAGACCUAUAGAAUCCUGAGUCUUGAGGUCUCCUCAAAACCUACUGGACCACUACAAGAGAAUGCCUGGGGGAACUGAACAAAGAUCACACAAAGUCGAAGCUGUAUGUCAAUGUGCUGCAUAUCUUCACCUUCAGAGAAGCCUAAAGGCCAACGUCAGCAUCAGCCAGGGGAAUGACAGUGUAUCAUCUGCAAGUCUGAGACGCCCUUGCUUGUUCGCAAGUACAGCUGGCUCACACGCCACAGACACGUUCUUUGAGACAAAGCUAGAGGAAAUCAGGCCAGACAGAACAGUGAGUCCGGCUAUUGACUCAGCAAGAACAUCGCUGCAAAAUCUCCUAGGAAGUUGCAAGGCCAGCAGUUGUCUUAAAAAUAGUGACCAGUUCUAAGGGAGGAUAGAUAAACAAUAAACAAUGGUGGUGUUCUGGGGUCUUGAAUAAUUGAGUCGGCAUCAAGGGGUUAUCCACUAAAAGUUAUUUACUGCCAUUGUCUAUUUCAUAUUUCAUAUUGGGUCAUUUUGGUGACCAAGAGGGCAGUCAGAGAGUGCACUGGAAGGCUUAUGAGCCCCCCGGGUAACGUGAAGCAGGUUGAUCCCACUCCUGCCUUUCCUACUAAGUGCUUGGAGAGCUUCCACACAUUAGACAUGAAACCGGACACUGUGAGAAUUGAUUGGCCCACAGGGAGAAGAGAGAAGAAAUCAUUCUUAACAGCCCUAGUCAGUCAGUGCUGAUCUUAGGCCCUCAAUGGCAAAGGAACACCAUAAGUAGCCACCAUGGAGAGAAGAUGAGUGGCUAGCUCUGGCUUUGUAAAUACAAAUUGCCAUGUGACAGUGAGGGUUGUUUCUAAGUGUAUGUUAUCAGGUCUAAAUUCAUAGUGCUUAUUUAAUUUUCUAAUUAAAUUACUAAUGAAUGCUCUA